UGUGUGUGUGUGUGCCUUUAACAAACACACCGACGCCACUUUACCUCGCCGGGGAAAAAAAAGUGCUGGAGGUUCACAAUCCGUAGACGCACCGACAAAGCGUGGCCGUGCUCCAGCGAGCAAGUGUCGAAAACAGUCCCAGAGUUGCACCGCCGAUCGAUCCGCUGUUGACAAGUUGUUUGAAGUCGCCAGCUAGCCGCACAAGCUAACGUCACAGGGCUCGCACAAACUCAACAUGGACUCGGGCCUCCGUGCUGAAAAGGGCCGCAUAGAGUCGAAAGAGGGGAGAAACGAGCGCGCGUACACCUUCCAAGCUCAUCCACUUGUUCCAUCCCCUGGGAGGUGAGGAGAGCAGUGAGCAGCAGCGGUGGCCGUGCUCGGGAAUCAUUUUGGUGAUUUAACCCCCAAUUCCAACCCUUGAUGCUGAGUGCCAAGCAGCCUUCCACCAUCGGCCCGCCUGCUGCUAGCCUUCCACCAUCGGCCUGCUGUUUGCCUCCAGCCAUCGGCUUCGUCUACGGGCUUCCACCCAUUGGCCUUUGUUGCUAGCAUUCAGCCCUGUCUGCUAACAUCUUCAAAAGUGGCAGGAGACUAUGGUCCAUCCAGACCCACACCUCCCGCCACCUGAACAGUUUUUUCCCUUCAGCCAUCAGACACAUGGACAAUAACAAGAUCUGAUAGCUCAGUUACAGCUCAUGUUAUUCUAUUCUGUGUUAUAUGUAUUUUUUGUUGCACGAUUGCACCAAGAAAAAUUCCUAGUUUGUGAACCCGUUCUCAAACAAUGGCAAUAAAAACUAUUCUGAUUUUGA